CCUACGGGUGGCUGCAGUGGGGAAUAUUGCACAAUGGGCGCAAGCCUGAUGCAGCCAUGCCGCGUGUGUGAAGAAGGCCUUCGGGUUGUAAAGCACUUUCAGCGGGGAGGAAGGCGUUAAGGUUAAUAACCUUGUCGAUUGACGUUACCCGCAGAAGAAGCACCGGCUAACUCCGUGCCAGCAGCCGCGGUAAUACGGAGGGUGCAAGCGUGAAUCGGAAUUACUGGGCGUAAAGCGCACGCAGGCGGUCUGUCAAGUCGGAUGUGAAAUCCCCGGGCUCAACCUGGGAACUGCAUUCGAAACUGGCAGGCUAGAGUCUUGUAGAGGGGGGUAGAAUUCCAGGUGUAGCGGUGAAAUGCGUAGAGAUCUGGAGGAAUACCGGCGGCGAAGGCGGCCCCCUGGACAAAGACUGACGCUCAGGUGCGAAAGCGUGGGGAGCAAACAGGAUUAGAUACCCGGGUAGUC
rnacentral:rRNA from 1 species